rnacentral:rRNA from 1 species
UACCGAGGGUGCAAGCGUUAAUCGGAAUUACUGGGCGUAAAGCGUGCGUAGACGGUUAUGUCAGUCGGGUGUGAAAGCCCCGGGCUCAACCUGGGAAUUGCAUUCGAGACUGUGUAGCUAGGGUACGGAAGAGGGAAGCGGAAUUUCAGGUGUAGCGGUGAAAUGCGUAGAUAUCUGAAGGAACACCAGUGGCGAAAGCGGCUUCCUGGUCCAGUACCGACGUUCAGGCACGAAAGCGUGGGGAGCAAACAGG